rnacentral:lncRNA from 1 species
GUGGAGCCUGGAGCUAACGGACCCCUGCUUUGGGGAAAAACUAGAAGUGGACAGAAAAAAAGUCCUGUUCUCAUAUUAAAAAGGAAGGAGAGAAUCAGAUGAAACAGAGCUGAAUCUUUACUUCUUCCCACCCGGCUGCGAUGAGUGGACAGACAUUGCUGAACGGGACCAGUGAAUCCCAUUCUCCCCACCGAAACCCAUUUUGCAGUUUUCUGAGUCAAACUAGCGCUGUGUACAACACUGCGGUGACACUUGUUUGGGAUGUGGAUAAAGUACCAAACUUGUCUGUAAAGAACUCACAGAACAUAAAGGCUGACUGAGUAGUUUCAAAACAAACAAAAGGAACAGAGGAAGGUGAGUAGACUGAAGUUUGGGGGAAAGUAUUACUGCUUAUUUUUAAAUAGACACUCAAAGAGCAAGGAUGUAGGUGGAGGAAUUUGAUUAUCAAAUGUAGUUUUAAGUCUUGUUUCCCUCAGAAAUGAAGAAUCCAAGAUGAUUUUCUUUUUCCUGCUGCAGGAAGGGAUUUUAAAAUUAAAAAUCGUGCUACACUUUAUCCUAAGAUGUUGUCUUAAAUAUUUGAUGGCAGGUGCCCAACCCUACAGCUUACAUGACACAUCUGAUCUUCCCAGAUAACAAUACCGCCAUGCUCAUUUUUAUUUCAUAAAUCCUCUGUCAAAAAGGAGAGAAAAGAAAGAACCGUCUCUGAGUGAGUAUAAUUUGAAGGAAUAGGCAAAUUGUGACACUUGGGCAGCUGUUACCGUAUCUAAACAAAACACCAUUCCAAAGCUGCAGCUGUCUGUAGGAAAGAUGGAUACA